rnacentral:lncRNA from 1 species
CAGCCCCUAGAAACCUGCCCUUCUCUGGCAGGGUUAGGGCUGAGACUGGGCCCUCAGACCAUUUGGAAUGACCAGUGAUUUCAGCUCUCACUCCCUUCUCAUCAGCACGUGUCUACAGUUGCAAAAAAUUAUGCAGAAGAGCAGAUCAGAUUGACGCAGUUUGAUAAGGAUUCAGCCCACCAUUGCUGACUUUGAAGAUGAAGGAGAGGGACCAUGAGCCACAGAAAACCAGCAGCCUCUAGGAACUGGAAAAAGCAAGGAAAUGGAUUUUCCCCUAGAGCUUCAUCCUCCCUCCCAGCACAAGGUCUUAGCACUGUUUCAUCUUCCCAGAAGGCUUUUCCCUCUUCCACCCUGCUUCUAGUCCCAAUAUCAUCACCAGAUGAGAAUAUGUAUGGAUUCAUGAACAAGAAAAUUGCUUAACCAUUUGAUCAAGAGAGAUUGGAAAAUCAAGAUGAAGCAGGUCUGGGUGAAAGAGCUGUGAAUGGAUUAAUGGAACAGAAAGGAGGUGUGGAGAUCCUUCUAUUACAUGUUAAUGAUCACCAGGGAACAUCCACUACAAUAGAACAUCCCACUAAAUCACCAGUAGACACAAGAGAAUAUGUGGCCAGUUGACUUUGGCCAGCCUCUGUCAUUAGAUGUCAAUGUUCAAACAACGGUACAUGAAUGGCAUAGCCCUGGUAGCAGGAGUGGGGGCUAUGCAUGGAUCCAGCAAUACACACUCCCACUCCACAACAUUGACCCAGCCACCAAGGCUGACAAAAUAUUCAACCUUCCAGCAACAGAAACCAAGGAUGACCCUUAUCCCUGCCCAGGUAUGGUAUUAGCCCUUGAGACUAACCAGCCAUGUGGUGGGAAGUUGAAUAUCUUCUACCCUGGAAAGGUCAUUGAUUCAUUUUAGUAUGAAUUAAUUCAUGUUUCUGGGUUGGAUUUGCUGUUCUUGCCUGCAGGGCCUCAGCUGGCACCAGCAUCUAAAGGCUUAGAGAGUUAGUGAUCCACCAACAUGGCAUCUCACAUAACAUCCCAUCAAACCAAGUGACCCACUUUACUAGAAAUGAGGUGCACGAGUGGACAAGCUCCAGCUUGACCCAAGUGGAACAAGCUCUACUAGUCCCAUCAGAUCAUGCACCAUCCAGAAGCUGCCACACUAACAGAGUGAUGGAAAGGCCUGUUGAAGGCAUAGUGGAUGAGCCACACCAUUGCAAGGUAAUGUCAUCGGAGGUUUAUUUAGCAUGUGUAUUACACCCAGAAGAAUGGUGUCCCAUCCUUGCAAGGUAAUGUCAUCAUCAGAUUCUCCUGGGUGUAAUAUACAUGCUAAACAAACAAUCAUUAUAUGAUGCUGUGUCCCCAAGAGGUAAAAUAUGUGGGAGCUAAGGAGUGGAAGCAGCAAUAGCCUCACUUACCAUCAAUACAAUUGACUCCUUAGGGAACUUGUGCCUAGGCUCUGUGGGUUUAGAGGUCCUGGUGCCCAAAGGAGAUGUGCUUCCAUCAGGGAAUACAACAAGCAUUCAAUUGAACAUGAGGUUAAGGCUGCCACUUGGGAGCAUCAGGCUCCUCAUGCCAAGAGAUCACCAAGCAAAAAGAGGAAUCACCGUACCAUGAGCAUUAAUCAAUCCCAUUCUUCAGAAGGAGAUGGGACUGCUGACACAAGGCCACAGAGAGGCCCCCAGAUAACUUGCCUGGGUGUCCCUUAGAAUUCCCUUGCCCAUUUUUUAAUAAUAGAUGGAUAAAUGCAACAGUCUCCACCUAACAAAGGCAUAAUGAUGGGACUUCUCAAGAGUGAGAAGCUAGGUCAUUCCACCAGCCAAGUAGACCAGCAGAGGUACCAAAAAGAGACAGGAAAUCUAGACUGUAAAGUAAAACAGGAAGAUUCCCCAGGAACAGAAGCCAACUGUGAUCCUAGAGGAGCUUCUCCUUAACAUGCAGAAAGAAGUGGAUCCAUGAAGCACAAGAGCUGAGCUGUCAUGGAAACUGCACAUCUCAAAUUUCCCAUCAGGACUGAAGGACCUAGUCCCCCACAGGCUGAAGACAGUCACCUUACCCAACUUCAUGCUCUCUUCCAGGGGCAGCCUGCAUCCAACAACUUGUCAGCACAGGACUAUAAAGGCCUUACCCUUUGCCUCUGUGAAGCAUCCCACAGAGAGGUGCAUCCACCUCUGAAGGUACAUCCCAGCUUCAGGCUCCCAGUCACUUUGGGCUUACCCAGCCUCUUCGUCUGCCCUGCUUUUCUCCCUCCCCUUCCUUCCUGCAGGUUUGGAUCCUGAGAGCACUCCCUAAUAAACCUCAUGCCCAC